CCCCUAGAUGUUCUGGGCCGCACGCGCGCUACACUGAACAGUUCAACAAGUCUUGACCUUGGCCGAUAGGUCUGGGUAAUCUUUGAACGCUGUUCGUGAUUGGGAUAGACCUUUGCAAUUAUGGGUCUUCAACGAGGAAUUCCUAGUAAACGCAAGUCAUCAGCUUGCAUUGAUUACGUCCCUGCCCUUUGUACACACCGCCCGUCGCACCUACCGAUUGAAUGGUCCGGUGAAAUCUCGGGACGGCGGCUUGGUCGCUUGCGUCCGACUGCUGAAACUUGAUUAAACCAUAUCAUUUAGAGGAAGGUGAAGUCGUANCA
rnacentral:rRNA from 1 species